rnacentral:rRNA from 1 species
GAUGAACGCUAGCUACAGGCUUAACACAUGCAAGUCGAGGGGCAGCGCAGUGUAGCAAUACAUGGGCGGCGACCGGCGCACGGGUGCGUAACGCGUAUCCAACCUUCCCGAUACUCAGGGAUAGCCUUCCGAAAGGGAGAUUAAUACCUGAUGGUGUUUCAAUUCCGCAUGUUAAUGAAACUAAAGAUUUAUCGGUAUCGGAUGGGGAUGCGUGACAUUAGAUAGUAGGCGGGGUAACGGCCCACCUAGUCUACGAUGUCUAGGGGUUCUGAGAGGAAGGUCCCCCCACACUGGAACUGAGACACGGUCCAGACUCCUACGGGAGGCAGCAGUGAGGAAUAUUGGUCAAUGGUCGGAAGACUGAACCAGCCAAGUAGCGUGAAGGAUGAAGGUUCUAUGGAUUGUAAACUUCUUUGUUCGGGAAUAAAGUGCAGUAUGUAUACUGUUUUGUAUGUACCGUUCGAAUAAGCAUCGGCUAAUUCCGUGCCAGCAGCCG